rnacentral:rRNA from 1 species
UGGGGAAUCUUGCACAAUGGGGCGAACCCUACGAUGCAGCGACGCCGCGUGAGCGAUGAAGCCCUUCGGGUGUAAAGCUCUUUCGGCAGGGAAGAUGAUGACGGUACCUGCAGAAGCAGCUGCGGCUAACUACGUGCCAGCAGCCGCGGUAAUACGUAGGCAGCAAGCGUUGUUCGGAGUUACUGGGCGUAAAGGGUGUGUAGGCGGCCUUCUAAGUUUGGUGUGAAAUCUCCCGGCUCAACCGGGAGGGUGCGCCGAAGACUGGGGGGCGUAGAGUGCGGAGGGGAGGAGGUAGAAUUCCUGGUGUAGCGGUGAAAUGCGUAGAUAUCAGGAGGAAUACCGGUGGUGUAGACGGC